rnacentral:rRNA from 1 species
UGGGGAAUAUUGCACAAUGGGCGCAAGCCUGAUGCAGCCAUGCCGCGUGUAUGAAGAAGGCCUUCGGGUUGUAAAGUACUUUCAGCGGGGAGGAAGGGAGUAAAGUUAAUACCUUUACUCAUUGACGUUACCCGCAGAAGAAGCACCGGCUAACUCCGUGCCAGCAGCCGCGGUAAUACGGAGGGUGCAAGCGUUAAUCGGAAUUACUGGGCGUAAAGCGCACGCAGGCGGUUUGUUAAGUCAGAUGUGAAAUCCCCGGGCUCAACCUGGGAACUGCAUUCGAAACUGGCAGGCUAGAGUCUUGUAGAGGGGGGUAGAAUUCCAGGUGUAGCGGUGAGAUGCGUAGAGAUCUGGAGGAAUACCGGUGGCGAAGGCGGCCCCCUGGACAAAGACUGACGCUCAGGUGCGAAAGCGUGGGGAGCAAACAGG